rnacentral:rRNA from 1 species
CCUACGGGUGGCUGCAGUGGGGAAUAUUGCACAAUGGGGGAAACCCUGAUGCAGCGACGCCGCGUGAGUGAAGAAGUAUUUCGGUAUGUAAAGCUCUAUCAGCAGGGAAGAAAUAAAGUCCUUCGGACUUUGGAAGGUACCUGACUAAGAAGCCCCGGCUAACUGCGUGCCAGCAGCCGCGGUAAUACGUAGGGGGCAAGCGUUAUCCGGAGUUACUGGGUGUAAAGGGAGCGUAGACGGCAGCACAAGUCUGGAGUGAAAUCCAAUGGCUUAACCAUGAAACUGCUUUGGAAACUGUGCAGCUGGAGUGCAGGAGAGGUAAGCGGAAUUCCUAGUGUAGCGGUGAAAUGCGUAGAUAUUAGGAGGAACACCAGUGGCGAAGGCGGCUUACUGGACUGUAACUGACGUUGAGGCUCGAAAGCGUGGGGAGCAAACAGGAUUAGAUACCCGGGUAGUC